rnacentral:lncRNA from 1 species
AUAUAUAUAUAUAUAUAUAUAUAUAUAGCUGUCCAGAUGCAUAUAUAUAGAGAUACAGAUAGAUAUAUAUAUUUUUUUUUUCCCACACACACACAAAAACAAAAAAACUGAAUUUCUCUUUAUUUUAAAAAUAAAAAAAAAAAAAACAUAUACCCUCCCUCUUGCUCAAAAAAAAAAAAAAACACCCCUCCCUCUACACACAUAUAUUUUUUUUUUUCUUUUCUCCUCUCUAGCUAAUAAUUUUGAAAAAAAAAUAAACAUACCCCCUCCCACCUAUAACUUUCUUUUCCUCUUCUCUUUAACAAAAACAAAAAAAAAAAAACAUUGGUCCCUCUUUUUCACCCCCAAAAAAAUACCUAUUUUCCCACACCCAAACGUAAAAAAAAAAAAAAAAAAAAAGCAGGACAAAAAAAAAAAAAAAAAAAAAAAAAAAAAAAAAAAAAAAAAAAAAAAAAAAAAAAAAAAAAAAAAAAAAAAAAAAAAAAAAAAAAAAAAAAAAAAAAAAAAAAAAAGAAAAAAAAAAAAAAAAAAAAAAAAAAAAAAAAACAAAAAAAU